AGCAGACAGCAAACUAGAAAGCAUAGCUAGAUCAGCACCCACUAGAGAGAGUGUGAGAGACCAUAAGCAAGGAUGGGUCAGUCCGCCUCUAUUCGGCAGGGAGAGACAGAGUAUGUUCGCCUAUUAGCCAGAGCCGACGACCGAAGCAGGAACCAGCAGUUUGGCAAGUCAACCAAAGCCAAGAAUAAAUAUUACAAAAGAUCAACCAAGGACGAUCUUGUUCUGAGGGCAACGCUGGAAGCUAUCACAAGAAUGGGAUAAAUCUGCAAAUCUAAAGCAAAAAGAUGUCAUAUUUUCUCCCUUGGUAUUGUAGGCGUCAAUCCUGAAUCCACAAAAGCUUCAGAAUUAGAUCGUGCUCUGUAUCUUCGCAAAUAUAUCGAUUGAAGGCGUGGAGGUAUCUUAUGAGAAUUUCAUACAUGAGUUAUUGCUCGGCUAGGGAACUCUGUAUUGCUACUUGUCUCUGUAAUAUACAAGAGGCUACAGCUUA